rnacentral:rRNA from 1 species
GACGAACGCUGGCGGCGUGCUUAACACAUGCAAGUCGAACGGAAAGGCCCUGCUUUUGUGGGGUGCUCGAGUGGCGAACGGGUGAGUAACACGUGAGUAACCUGCCCUUGACUUUGGGAUAACUUCAGGAAACUGGGGCUAAUACCGGAUAGGAGCUCCUGCUGCAUGGUGGGGGUUGGAAAGUUUCGGCGGUUGGGGAUGGACUCGCGGCUUAUCAGCUUGUUGGUGGGGUAGUGGCUUACCAAGGCUUUGACGGGUAGCCGGCCUGAGAGGGUGACCGGCCACAUUGGGACUGAGAUACGGCCCAGACUCCUACGGGAGGCAGCAGUGGUGAAUAUUGCACAAUGGGCGGAAGCCUGAUGCAGCAACGCCGCGUGCGGGAUGACGGCCUUCGGGUUGUAAACCGCUUUCGCCUGUGACGAAGCGUGAGUUACGGUAAUGGGUAAAGAAGCACCGGCUAACUACGUG